AACCAUAGAAACCUGCGGAGUACCUGCGGAGGGAUCAUUACAGAGUUGCAAAACUCCCUAAACCAUUGUGAACGUUACCUAAACCGUUGCUUCGGCGGGCGGCCCGGGUCCUUCCCGGCGCCCAUCGGCCCUCGCGGGCGCCCGCCGGAGGUAAACCAAACUAUUGCAUUGUAUGGCCUCUCUGAGUCUUCUGUACUGAAUAAGUCAAAACUUUCAACAACGGAUCUCAGAUCGGAAAAG
rnacentral:misc_RNA from 1 species